UACGUAGGGACCGAGCGUUGUCCGGAAUCAUUGGGCGUAAAGAGCGUGUAGGCGGCCACUUAAGUCCUGCGUGAAAUCUUGCGGCUCAACCGCAAGCGGUCGUGGGAAACUGGGUGGCUAGAGUGCGGGAGAGGAGAGUGGAAUUCCUGGUGUAGCGGUGGAAUGCGCAGAUAUCGGGAAGAACACCCGUGGCGAAGGCGGUUCUCUGGGACGGUACUGACGCUGAGACGCGAAAGCGUGGGGAGCGAACAGG
rnacentral:rRNA from 1 species